GUAAAAGUAUUGUCAAGAGCUGAACUGAACUGAACUGAAUUGAACUGAAUUGAACUGAACUGAAUUGAACUGAACUGAACUGAACUGAAAACAAGCUGGAGUGAAUAGGCCCUUCCAUCCACAAAAGCAAAUAGAACAAAUGAGAUUAUCAAUAUGAUUAAAUAUGCAUUUGUCGAAUUUUAUUUUUCAUAAGUACUCCAUCUGUUUUUUUUUUUUUUUUUAUCAUUUUUACUUUCAUGUGCGCGUCCCUCAAUGCACCUCUUUAAACUUAAAUAUCUUUCAUCAUAUAUUAAUAAAAUUAUAACGAUUGAAUAUUAACAACGUAUUAAUUGACACAAAUCAAACAAGAUUCUACAUAACUAUAUUUUUUUCUUAUAAAUUUAGAAAAUGGAAAAAAAUUAUUUCUAAAUAUGAAUAGGCCAAAAUUACAAAUGAAAAAAAAAAAACCAAGGGACUACUAGUCAGUAGUCAGUAGUCAUGUUUGUUUUCAUAUGAUCCCAACGCCUUUGACCUAGAAAUUUAGUAAUUAACCCUCUCAAAUUCCUGAUCUGGUCAAGCUAAUUAAUCAAAGAAAAACCCAUAUGUCCAAAACACAAUUCCAAAAAAAAAAGGAAUGAAAAGAAAAAUAAACCCAUAGAAUCAAAGAAAAUUCUCCGUAUCUUUAUCAGUUGCAUCAUAUUUUGAAUUGACUAUUAUUCUGCCUUGAAUAAAGAUAUGUUCAUGAUAUUCAACGGUUAAUACAACUCCUAUGCCAGAAUAUUCUAUUACAGCUAAUGCUUUGUUCGGGAUUCUAUGUUAUUCGAGCUCUUCAUAUUACCUUAGGUAACCGUCUUAUAUCCUCGUCACUUUGAUAUGAGUAUGGACGUACAUGUACCUGUACCUGUGUCUGGAUUGAAUUCCCAUGUACGAGUAACAUAGUCAGGAGUCAUCGUGUGGAAGCAAGAACGACGAGAAUUUCCAAGAUUCGGUUGUUGCAAGUUGGCAUUAGACUUAAUUCAAGAUGAUUCAAAUUUUUGAUCUUCCAAUUGUUAAUGAAGGAUAAAUUUUAGCCACAAACAGCUAAUCUUGUUGGCGCGAUCUUGAAAUUGUUUGCCUGAAGAAGAUGGAAAUUUAUUCACAAGAUGUGGAGCUGGAGCUUUGAUCUUGCAGUCUAAGCUUGUUUUAAGCUUUCACUAGAUCCCUUUUACGGCUUCUCUGAAGCUUUUUGUUUUAAACAUGUUUUCUUGGCCAAAUUCUAGCAUUAGGUGUUAUAUUCUUUAUAAUUGUGGCACUAUUUUAGUAUUUCCUAUGGGAACUUGGUCUAUUUUUGUAAAUGAGGUAUAUCUUUCGCUACUUGAAAGGUUUGUGAUAGAACGGAGAGCAAAUCCUUUUUACUCCAAGGGAGAGAAGAGAGUUUAUGAACAACAUUAGGUAGAGUUUUGAAUGAAUAACAUUGGUUAAUUUAGCUUGUAAAGCUAAUUUAGAUGCUAAACUUUUUGCACUGGUAAUGGUAGAGUAAUGAUAAAACCA